rnacentral:rRNA from 1 species
CUACGGGCCGCAGCAGUGAGGAAUAUUGCGCAAUGGACGAAAGUCUGACGCAGCAACGCCGCGUUGGGGAUGAAGCACUAUGGUGUGUAAACCCCUGUAGGUUGGGAAGAACAGUGUGUAUUCGCAAGGGUGCAUAUUUGACGGUACCAUCAAAGUAAGCUCCGGCUAACUCCGUGCCAGCAGCCGCGGUAAUACGGGGGGAGCGAGCGUUGUCCGGAAUCACUGGGCGUAAAGGGCGUGUAGGCGGGCUGGUCAGUCAGAUGUGAAAGCCCACGGCUUAACCGUGGAAUUGCAUUUGAUACUGCCGGUCUUGAGUGCGGGAGAGGGUGGUGGAAUUCCCAGUGUAGCGGUGAAAUGCGUAGAUAUUGGGAAGAACACCAGUAGCGAAGGCGGCUACCUGGCUCGCAACUGACGCUAAUGCGCGAAAGCGUGGGGAUCAAACAGGAUUAGAUACCCUUGUAGUC